GUAGGGUGCGAGCGUUAAUCGGAAUUAUUGGGCGUAAAGCGAGUGCAGACGGUUGUUUAAGCCAGAUGUGAAAUCCCCGAGCUUAACUUGGGACGUGCAUUUGGAACUGGAUAACUAGAGUGUGUCAGAGGGAGGUAGAAUUCCACAUGUAGCGGUGGAAUGCGUAGAGAUGUGGAGGAAUACCGAUGGCGAAGGCAGCCUCCUGGGAUAACACUGACGUUGAGGCUCGAAAGCGUGGGGAGCAAACAGGAUUAGAUACCCUGGUAGUCCACGCCCUAAACGAUGACAAUUAGCUGUUGGGCUUUGAAAGGCUUAGUAGCGAAGCUAACGCGUGAAAUUGUCCGCCUGGGGAGUACGGUCGCAAGAUUAAA
rnacentral:rRNA from 1 species